UGUAUAUAUAUAUAUAUAUAUAGAUCAAUGAAUGUAACAUUUCUGUAUUCGAAUUUGUUAUACGACAUCACUGAACAAAGACAGCAGUAUUUGUAAUCAUAUGCCAAAGAAUAAAGGUAAAGGAGGUAAAAAUCGGCGGCGUGGUAAGAACGAGAACGAGUCAGAGAAGAGAGAGCUGGUUUUCAAAGAGGAUGGCCUGGGUAAGUAGUUUAAAUAGUUGGCCCGCUGUAUAUGUGCAAAUAAAUGAAGGUUUGUGGUCAGUAAGAUGAAUCAUUUAUUUGUGUGUAUAUAACACCUGCACCUUUUGUAUAUCUUAUCUUACACACCAGUUAACUGAGCUCCAAAUCAGCAUAUUAGAAUGAUUUCUAAAACAUAACAGGAAUAAAUUACAUUUAUAAUAUAAAAUAGAAAACAUGUACUUUAAAUUAUAGUAAUAUUACUGUUUCUGCUUUAUUUUUGAUUGGUUCUUCCAAAAACAUUAAAUCUGAUUGACCCCAAAUGUUUGAACUGAAGUGUGUGUGUGUAUAUUUAUGUAUAUAUGUAUGUAUAAAUCGAGGAAAGCUCCGGAAAAAGGUAUGAUAAUGUUGAUUAUAACUCUCAUGUCUAGGUUUAUGGACUGAAUAACUGUCAUAUUUCUAUUGCUGUUUGUUAUAGAUAAUUUGAUAUAAUUUCACUCAUUUUACUUUCUUAUUUCUGCUUGCCUAGAAGACAUCUUUUUUUCUUUUUUUAAUUAACGUCAUUCUCCUUUAGGUCUGAAUCAACACAUCUGACAUUAGGUCUUAGAGAUUAUCAGGAUACCAAAGCAGAUGUUAUUUUAAAGUACAAUGCAGAUGAGGCCUGCAGUCUUAAGGCCUACGGAGAGCUUCCAGAACACGGUGAGUCUCAAACUGGCCUUACUCAGUUUCUGACUUCUGUUUACUGGAAAUGUUUUAUGGAAAUGUCAUGUUACUAAAACCAAUGACCCACAAUUCUAAGUGUCAGAUGAUGUAGAUGUAUGCAAGUAAAGACUCAAAAAGACUAAAAUCAAUGAAACUGACACAUUUGGACCUGGAGACAAUGAUGAGAUUCAGUUUGAUGAUAUUGGGAAUGAUGAUGAGGACAUUGAUGAUGUAAGUGUUUGAUUGUUUUGAUUAUGACUUUUUUUUUUUAUGUAAGUUACCAAUAUCGAAGUGCUGGAAUUUGAGUUUCUAUUGCCUGUAUAGUUAUUUCUGCUGUACUAUAAAACUGAUAUACAUUAAUAUUCAAGCGUUUGGGUGAGUUAGUUUUUUUUUUUUUUUCAAGAAAUUAAUACUUCUAUUCAGCAAGGACACAAUUAAUUGUACAGUGACCGUAAAGAAAUGUAUAAUGUUACAAAAGAUUCCUACUUCAUAAAAUCCAGAAAAAAUGGAUCAGUUUACACAAAAAUGUAACUGCGUUGAGGCUUCUUUGGCAUAUGAUUACAAAUAACUGCUUGGAGGCUUGGAGAUGCACUUUAGUGAUCUAUUAAGCAUUCACAGUAACUUUUAAAGGAACAAAAUGUUUUAACUGUGUCUGACUGCUCUGGUCCACAAGCAACAUACUGAAGUGUUUUGGAAAACCUGUACCUUGAUGUGUUUGUUUCUGUCCUCUCCCACAGAUCUGAUUCAGGGCUGCUGGUGGCUUAUAUAAUUUACACUGAGAGGAGAGAAAAUUUCCUUUUUGGGGAAUAAUUGCAACUUUGACAUAACUGAUGCCUCAUAUCCUGCAACCUCCCUCACAGAAAAACUUGUAGAGUCAUUACUUAUCUGUUUCUCUAUCCACCACGUAAUCUCACUACAAGGCUUCUCCGAGCAUUCUGGCUUUCACACAAAUCGCUCUCUUUCACAUUUAAUACAACCACACAACAUAGACUACGUAGCUUUGUUAUGAUUUUCAAGUAUUUAUAUUAUAUUCCACUGUAUGUGGUGGAAUUUAAAAUGCAAAGAAAAUCCAGAAUUUGCAGUUCUGUUGUAUAUAAUUCUUUGCAUUUAAUUUUCUCCAAGUAAACGGUAUCUUCAUCAUGGCAUUUGCAUGCAUCUCUGCUGUGAAAUAAAAAAUAUUUUUUUA